UCGGGGUGGAUUAGUGGCGAACGGGUGAGUAACACGUGGGCAAUCUGCCCUUCACUCUGGGACAAGCCCUGGAAACGGGGUCUAAUACCGGAUAACACUCCYMSAGGCAUCUSKGKGGGUUGAAAGCUCCGGCGGUGAAGGAUGAGCCCGCGGCCUAUCAGCUUGUUGGUGAGGUAGAAGCUCACCAAGGCGACGACGGGUAGCCGGCCUGAGAGGGCGACCGGCCACACUGGGACUGAGACACGGCCCAGACUCCUACGGGAGGCAGCAGUGGGGAAUAUUGCACAAUGGGCGAAAGCCUGAUGCAGCGACGCCGCGUGAGGGAUGACGGCCUUCGGGUUGUAAACCUCUUUCAGCAGGGAAGAAGCGAAAGUGACGGUACCUGCAGAAGAAGYKCYKGYUAACUACGUGCCAGCAGCCGCGGUAAUACGUAGGGCGCAAGCGUUGUCCGGAAUUAUUGUGGCGUAAAGACCUCGUACGCGGUCUGUCACGUCGGAUGUGAAAGCCCGGGGCUUAACCCCGGGUCUGCAUUCGAUACGGGCAGACUAGAGUGUGGUAGGGGAGAUCGGAAUUCCUGGUGUAGCGGUGAAAUGCGCAGAUAUCAGGAGGAACACCGGUGGCGAAGGCGGAUCUCUGGGCCAUUACUGACG
rnacentral:rRNA from 1 species